AUGUCUUCUCAAGAUUCGGAGGAAGAGAGCCAUGUUUCUUACCAGCCUCUGGACCCAAACAUCUUCAAGAAGACUUUUCCCUAUAUGUGGUUUACAGAUGAGGAGGAUGCAGUUGAACCUAUUCCACUUCGUUUCCUGAAGGAAAGCAAGGAAGCAUUAUGCAAGAGGAUAUUAAAGCUCGAGAUGGAGAACGAUGAGUUGAGGAUAGACAAUUUUACCCUCCGUUGCAAGCUGGAAAAAGGGGAUAAACCCGCUACUACGUCACCACCGCCAUCAUCAUCUUCUUCAUCACCAAAUGAGACUUGA
rnacentral:rRNA from 1 species